rfam:Cricetulus griseus cell line CHO-K1, whole genome shotgun sequence.
CCUUCGGUAGCUCAGUUGGUAGAGCGGAGGACUGUAGGUGCAUCUUCUAGGUAUCCUUAGGUCGCUGGUUCGAAUCCGGCUCGAAGGA